rnacentral:rRNA from 1 species
GACGAACGCUGGCGGCGUGCUUAACACAUGCAAGUCGAACGGAAAGGCGCUGCUUUUGUGGGGUGCUCGAGUGGCGAACGGGGGAGUAACACGUGAGUAACCUGCCCUUGUCUUUGUGAUAACUUCAGGAAACUGGGGCUAAUACAGGAUAGGAGCUCCUGAUGCAUGGGGGGGGUUGGAGAGUUUCGGCGGUAGGGGCUGGAUUCGCGGCUUAUCAGCUUGUUUGUGGGGUAGUGGCUUACCAAGGCUUUGACGGGUAGCCGGCCUGGGAGGGUGACCGGCCACAAUGGGCCUGAGAGACGGCGCAGACUCCUACGGGCGGCAGCGGUGGGGAACAUUGCGCAAUGGGCGGAAGCCUGAUGCAGCAACGCCGCGUGCGGGAUGCCGGCCUUCGGGUUGUAAACCGCUUUCGCCGGUGACGAGGCGUGAGUGACGGUAGUGGGUAAAGAAGCACCGGCUAACUACGUG